AUUGAACGCUGGCGGCAGGCCUAACACAUGCAAGUCGAGCGAGCGGCGGACGGGUGAGUAAUGUCUGGGAAACUGCCUGAUGGCGGGGGAUAACUACUGGAAACGGUAGCUAAUACCGCAUACCAUCAGAUGUGCCCAUAUGGGAUUAGCUAGUAGGUGGGGUAACGGCUUACCUAGGCGACGAUCCCUAGCUGGUCUGAGAGGAUGACCAGCCACACUGGGACUGAGACACGGUCCAGACUCCUACGGGAGGCAGCAGUGGGGAAUAUUGCACAAUGGGCGCAAGCCUGAUGCAGCCAUGCCGCGUGUAUGAAGAAGGCCUUCGGGUUGUAAAGUACUUUCAGUGGGGAGGCGUUACCGACAGAAGAAGCACCGGCUAACUCCGUGCCAGCAGCCGCGGUAAUAC
rnacentral:rRNA from 1 species